rnacentral:misc_RNA from 1 species
AGCAGCCGCGGUAAUUCCAGCUCCAAUAGCGUAUAUUAAAGUUGUUGCAGUUAAAAAGCUCGUAGUUGAAUUUCGGGGUUAGUAGGUUGGUCAUGCCUCUGGUAUGUACUGGUCUCACUGAUUCCUCCUUCCUGAUGAACCUUAAUGCCAUUUAUUUGGUGUUUUGGGGAAUUUGGACUGUUACUUUGAAAAAAUUAGAGUGUUUAAAGCAAGCUAACGCUUGAAUACAUUAGCAUGGAAUAAUGAAGUAGGACGUUCGAUCCUAUUUUGUUGGUUUCUAGGAUUGACGUAAUGAUUAAUAGGGAUAGUUGGGGGCAUUAGUAUUCAAUUGUCAGAGGUGAAAUUCUUGGAUUUAUUGAAGACUAACUACUGCGAAAGCAUUUGCCAAGGAUGUUUUCAUUAAUCAAGAACGAAAGUUAGGGGAUCGAAGACGAUCAGAUACCGUCGUAGUCUUAACCAUAAACUAUGCCGACUAGGGAUCGGAUGAUGUUAAUUUUUUAAUGACUCAUUCGGCGCCUUA